UGCGCAGGCGGCCGCGCAAGUCGAGUGUGAAAUCCCCGAGCUUAACUUGGGAAUUGCGCUCGAAACUACGUGGCUGGAGUGUGGCAGAGGAAGGUGGAAUUCCACGUGUAGCGGUGAAAUGCGUAGAGAUGUGGAGGAACACCGAUGGCGAAGGCAGCCUUCUGGGCCAACACUGACGCUCAUGCACGAAAGCGUGGGGAGCAAACAGGAUUAGAUACCCUGGUAGUCCACGCCCUAAACGAUGAUGACUAGUUGUUGGAGGAGUUAAAUCCUUUAGUAACGCAGCUAACGCGUGAAGUCAUCCGCCUGGGGAGUACGGUCGCAAGAUUAAA
rnacentral:rRNA from 1 species